CGAAAAGUAAAACUUUGGCACCGCCUCCCGGCGCUGUUCAAAGCUGAAGCGUGUGGUAGCUUGGCCUUUUCGAAACGUUGGUCUCUGACUCGUUUUCCUUUUCUUGCUCGUACAGGAGGAGAUAUGAAAUGGGAAUGGGCCAUGGAAAAACCAUGAAUUUAGAAGACUAACUCAACAAUUGGGGCUGGAAGAAAGGAACAUCUUGCAGCUAGAGAGCCCACUUAAUUAAUUAAGCAUUGUUUGUACUGCUGAAUUUCAUUGGGGAAUAAAUUAGGGAACAUGUUAUAUA